rnacentral:lncRNA from 1 species
GCUCAACUCAAACAGUCCUGUGACUCCUCACUAGGACUACCCUGACCAAGGUUUUGCUAAAUUGAAACACGACUGUACAUAGCUCCUGAACUGGAGUGGUCAAUCCCAUCUUAAUACACACACCGACAAGUCAAGUACUUGACUACACCCAGCAUCCUUCCGUCACUGAAUUAGAAAUUCAGGUAGUCCAGUGCCUAAGUAUAGUAAGUUGCUUGCAAGUCACCAUGGCGG